rnacentral:lncRNA from 1 species
CGCUCUCUCGCAGGCUCGCUCCUUCUCCUAGGUGAUCCAUUUCUAGGCAACGUGGGGCUGGUGCUGAAGCUGCCAGGCUCGCUCCUUGCUUCCUGCAUCCCGCCAGGCGAAACGCUCCAAAAGCAUCCUGCAGCCUGCGGCGGCUUCCCUCCUCUGGCCCGGCCCCGCUGCUCGCGCCCGGCGCAACCCCCCCGCCACCGCGCCCCAGCAAACCGGCUCCCCGGGCCCGCCUCGCCAAGCUGCGUUCCGCGCCUCACGCAGAAAGGGAAUUUUCUCUGCAUUACUAUCUGCAUUACCUUGAAGUUCACUUUUUCUACCCCUCUUGGAGAGGGCUUUUUUCCCCCCUCCCUGGUGGAAUCUGGCUGCUCCGUUUGGAAUCUCCUAAUCUUUCCUUUCCACUUAGAUUCUGGCAGCGAAGACCAGUGAUUCUCU